AACGUAGGAGACAAACGUUAUCCGGAGUUACUGGGCGUAAAGGGCGUGUAGGUGGUAGUGUAAGUCUGGCGUGAAAUUUUUCGGCUUAACCGGGAAAGGUCGUCGGAUACUGCACAACUAGAGGACGGUAGAGGCGUGUGGAAUUCCGGGUGUAGUGGUGAAAUGCGUAGAGAUCCGGAGGAACGCCAGUGGCGAAGGCGACACGCUGGGCCGUACCUGACACUGAUGCGCGACAGCAUGGGGAGCAAACAGG
rnacentral:rRNA from 1 species